rnacentral:rRNA from 1 species
AUGGCGUACUUUUUGUAGAACGGUCCGGCGAGUUACUAAUGCCAGCGAGGUUAAGUGGUCAGAAGCCACGGAGCCGAAGGGAAACCAAGUCUGAAUAGGGCGUAGAGUUGGUAUUAGUAGACCCGAAACCGGGUGACCUAUCCAUGUCCAGGUUGAAGGAACCGUAAAAGGUUUUGGAGGACCGAACACACAUGUGUUGAAAAACGUGGUGAUGAGGUGUGGAUAGCGGAGAAAUUCCAAUCGAACUCGGAGAUAGCUGGUUCUCCUCGAAAUAGCUUUAGGGCUAGCCUCGAGCUGGAGUCUAACGGAGGUAAAGCACUGAACUGACGCGGGGCCCAAAAAGGUUACCAACUCAUAUCAAACUAAGAAUGCCGUCAAGAUACCCUCGGGAGUCAGUCUGCGUGAGAUAAGUCGCGUGGACAAAAGGGAAAGAGCCCAGACCGACAGCUAAGGUCCCAAAGUACGUGUUAAGUGGAAAAGGAUGUGGGAUUUCAUAGACAACUAGGAUGUUGGCUUAGAAGCAGCCAUACAUUUAAAGAGUGCGUAAUAGCUCACUAGUCGAGAAAACCUGCGCCGAAAAUGUAACGGGGCUAAAACACGACACCGAAGCUACGGAUUCCUUACAAAGUAAGGAGUGGUAGAGGAGCAUCCUGCAAGGACGAAGCCAAAGUGAGAGCGAUGGUGGACGAAACAGGAGAGAGAAUGCCGGAAUGAGUAGCGAGAUACAUGUGAGAAACAUGUAGGCCGAAUAUCUAAGGAUUCCUGGGUAAAGCUAAUCUUCCCAGGGUUAGUCGGGGCCUAAGGCGAGGACGAAAGUCGUAGUCGAUGGAUAACAGGUUGAUAUUCCUGUACUACACAUAAUCAGAACUGUGGGGACGCAGGAGGAUAGGGAAACCGGGGAAUGGAAAGACCCGGUCAAGCGUAAAGCUGUGAGAGAUAGGCAAAUCCGUCUCUUGUAAGUGAAACGUGAUGAGGACUGAAAAAAAGUAAGGAAGUUUCCGAAUCCACACUGCCGAGAAAAGCCGCUAUUGCGUUAUGUGUACCCGUACCGUAAACCGACACAGGUAGAUGAGGAGAAAAUCCACAGGCCGACGGGAGAAGUGUUGUUAAGGAACUCGGCAAAAUGACCCCGUAACUUCGGGAUAAGGGGAGCCUCGCAAGAGGCCGCAGAAAAGAGGCACAAGCAACUGUUUAGCAAAAACAUAGGUCUAUGCGAAACCGUAAGGUGAAGUAUAUGGGCUGACGCCUGCCCGGUGCUGGAAGGUUAAAAGGAGAGGUCAGCGCAAGCGAAGCUUUGAAUUCAAGCCCCAGUAAACGGCGGCCGUAACUAUAACGGUCCUAAGGUAGCGAAAUUCCUUGUCAGGUAAGUUCUGACCCGCACGAAAGGCGUAAUGAUUUGUGCACUGUCUCGACAACACGCCCGGUGAAAUUGAAGAACCAGUGAAGAUACUGGUUACCCGCAACAGGACGGAAAGACCCCAUGGAGCUUUACUGCAGCCUGAUACUGGGAUUCGAUGAUAUAUGUACAGGAUAGGUGGGAGGCUAAGAAGCGAGAACGCUAGUUUUCGUGGAGCCGCCGGUGGGAUACCACUCUUAUGUCAUUGAAUUUCUAACCUGCAUCCGUAAUCCGGGUGAGGGACAAUGUCAGGCGGGCAGUUUGACUGGGGCGGUCGCCUCCUAAAAGGUAACGGAGGCGCUCGAAGGUCACCUCAGAAUGAUUGGAAACCAUUCAAAGAGUGUAAAGGCAAAAGGUGGCUUGACUGCGAGAGCGACGGCUCGAGCAGGUACGAAAGUAGGACUUAGUGAUCCGG